rnacentral:SRP_RNA from 1 species
GUUGGGCACGGUGUCUCGUGACUGUAGUCCCAGCUACUUGGGAGGCUGACGUGGGAGGAUCGCUUGAGCCCUGGAGUUUUGGGCUGUAGUGCGCUAUGCUGAUCAGGUGUCCGCACUAAGUUUGGCAUCAAUAUGGUGACCUCCCGGGAGUGGGGGACCAGGUUGCCUAAGGAGAGGUGAACCUGCCGAGGUCAGAAAUGGAGCAGGUCAAAACUGCUGUGCUGAUCAGUAGUGGGUCCGCGCCUGUGAAUAACCACUGCAUUCCAGCCUGGGCAACAUAGCAAGACCCAUCUCU